rnacentral:rRNA from 1 species
ACUGCUCAGUAACACGUGGAUAACCUGCCCUUGGGUCCGGCAUAACCCCGGGAAACUGGGGAUAAUUCCGGAUAACGCAUAUCUGCUGGAAUGCUCUAUGCGUAAAAUGGAUUCGUCUGCCCAAGGAUGGGUCUGCGGCCUAUCAGGUAGUAGUGGGUGUAAUGGACCUACUAGCCAACAACGGGUACGGGUUGUGAGAGCAAGAGCCCGGAGAUGGAUUCUGAGACAUGAAUCCAGGCCCUACGGGGCGCAGCAGGCGCGAAAACUUUACAAUGCGGGAAACCGUGAUAAGGGGACACCGAGUGCCAGCAUCAUAUGCUGGCUGUCCAGGUGUGUAAAAUACACCUGUUAGCAAGGGCCGGGCAAGACCGGUGCCAGCCGCCGCGGUAACACCGGCGGCCCGAGUGGUGAUCGUGAUUAUUGGGUCUAAAGGGUCCGUAGCCGGUUUGGUCAGUCCUCCGGGAAAUCUGAUAGCUCAACUAUUAGGCUUUCGGGGGAUACUGCCAGACUUGGAACCGGGAGAGGUAAGAGGUACUACAGGGGUAGGAGUGAAAUCUUGUAAUCCCUGUGGGACCACCUGUGGCGAAGGCGUCUUACCAGAACGGGUUCGACGGUGAGGGACGAAAGCUGGGGGCACGAACCGGAUUAGAUACCCGGGUAGUCCCAGCCGUAAACGAUGCUCGCUAGGUGUCAGGCAUGGCGCGACCGUGUCUGGUGCCGCAGGGAAGCCGUGAAGCGAGCCACCUGGGAAGUACGGCCGCAAGGCUGAAACUUAAAGGAAUUGGCGGGGGAGCA